GCCCCCGUAGCUCAGGGGAUAGAGCGUCGGUUUCCUAAACCGUGCGUCGCAGGUUCGAAUCCUGCCGGGGGCA
rnacentral:tRNA from 30 species